rnacentral:lncRNA from 1 species
GCAAACCCAGGCAAAAUACAGGCCUCGAAUUUUAAAAUUUUUUAUUUUUUUUAGAUUGACAUCUCAAUUAGAUCAUGUACCUAUUAAACCCCUGAACCUUUUAUUAAAUGUGUCUAUUAAGCACUUUUUUGAAAAAAUAAAAAGAACUGAACUGCGUGAAUUUCUCACGGACCUGGAAAAUACACAAAUAAGAAAAAGACAACUCAUUUUGC